UAUUUUCAGGUAUUGAGAAACAAGUAUGUCACCAAUAACAAUGCAGUAACUGAAUGCUGUUGUUCCAUGGCAUGUGGAGAAGAGUGGUUGAGCACUGUCAAUCAGGAUCUCCAAAGGUAUAAGAAGAACUUGCUUGCUGCUCCACAUGUCUUUGAAAAUGGAAUUCACCUUCCAGUUCUCACCUGUUCCACCAGGAACAUCUACCCUGCACUAGACCUGAUCACACACAGCACAUACCCCAGUUGCAGCUCAAAUCUGAAGGUAUUCAGACACCUCCAGUUUCACAGGAACCACCUAAGCCUAUCUGGGUUCCUAUCAGAAGUGUCUGAUACUACCUC